rnacentral:rRNA from 1 species
UACAGAGGCCUCGAGCGUUGUUCGGAUUUACUGGGCGUAAAGGGCGCGUGAGGCGGCCACCGCAAGUCGACUGUGGAAAUCUCCCGGGCUAACCCGGAAAGGUCAGCCGAUGACUGCGGGGCUAGAGUGGCAGAAGGGGCAACUGGGAAUUCUCGGUGUAGCGGAUGAAAUGCGUAGAUAUCGGAGAGGAACACCUGCGGCGAAGGCGGGUUGCUGGGCUGACACUGACGCUGAGGCGCGAAAGCUAGGGGAGCGAACGGG